GGUGUGUCCAUAAUGUUGACUGGCACUGUAUAUAAUGUCAUUCAGGUGAACCUAUGAGUGCGAUGAGUGUUGCAGUCUGGGUGAGAAAUGAGCAGAUGGACUAUAGGUACUCUUAUAGUUAAUGCCAUGCUUUAUUUCUCUCCAGGACAGUCAAUGUGAACGUCAAUGACAAACAUGGUUUCACUCCUCUCAAGGUGGCUGCACAGACAGUCUUUGCCAGGUUAAACCUUGCAGUAAAAGUCUUGCUCACCGGUGUCUAAUAAUAGUGGAACGUCACCAUUAUGCCUGAAAGCUUUACUCUGAACUUGAAUUUCUCUUUUUUAGGCUCGUUCACAAAUUGCUAGAACACAGUGCAGACAUGAAUAAGAAGAACGGUAGUGGGAAAGACAGGCAGAUGCUGACAAGUUUCUUUGGCCACCUGGACAUAGUGAAGUAUCUGAAGAUGUUUGGGGCCACGUGGCAGUCCCAGGACAUGGGGGUGGGGCUGUACCCCCCUCCACUGGGCAGCUGACAGAGGACACCUUGCUGUCAUAGCCUACAUGAUUCAGGAUGGCUGUGAGUUGGAUGUUAGAGACAACGUGUCCUACUGACUGGACUCCUUUGAUGAGGGUGUCAGCGGUCACUGGAACCCAGCGGUGGCCUCUCUCCUCAUCAGAGCCGGGGCUGAAGUCAACACCAGGACAAGGAUGGGAAGACGCCACUUAUGGUACACUCCAAACACUUCUUCACAAACUUCUGUUGUGCCACUAAAGAGGUUACUCAUAGUGCAAACUCACCGAGACUCCUUAGAAAAUAGGACAUUGGACAGGAAAGUUCAUAGGACAAGGCAAGCAGUCAAUACAACAACUGUCUGCUAGGUGGCAGUGUUGAACCACCAUGAGUUGCUGGUGCAGUUGUUGUUGGACAGGGCCGACCACGAUGUGAAGAACGAGGUAAUGACAAGUAACAGCAUGGGUUCUGUUUCGAUUAGAGCAAUUUAAAUCAUUCUGGAAUUGACUGAUAUUUUUGUCUUUGCAGUUUGGGCCAGGGGCAGCUGAAAUAGCAAAGGCCUUUGGGAGAGAGGUAAUGCUUUCUCCAUAAACAUUACUGUUGCGUUGUACAGUAUGUUACUGUUAUAGUGAAUAUAUGAGCAAGUGUUGUUUAUCAUUUUUUCCCUACAGAAUUUCAUCAGUUUAUUAGAAGGACAGAUGAGUAUAGUCAGAGAUAGUACAGUCCAUUAGUAAAGGGCUUAGCUGGACAGCAUCAUUUUUUUUUCAUAAUUUCUAAUAGCUUUAUUAUUGUUGCUUAUUUUUUAACAUGUAUGUAUGUAUACUAAACCUGCAUUUUUAUCUGAAUAUUUGUUUUGCGUAACUAAACAUUUAUACACAUACUGUAUGAUAUUUUUAUGGAUAAAUGAAAUAAUAAACCAUCAAGAAUUGCCUCAAGACACAAAGGAUUGACUUGGUUUCGUUUUACUGUACAGAUGUCUGAUAAAACCUUAUCCUACAAGAGGGAGACACAUUUCACAUUGCU